CUAUACCAAAACGUGUCGGUUUUUUUAAGGGUCGGUGUUGGGAAGUUUCAAUAAAUGCACGGAUCUUGAACAGCUGUGGAUGAAAAAAGGCAAGGCAGGUGCCCUGAGUUCACUAGCCCUGUGAAUAAAUAAAGCCAAUUAAGCCUUGCUGGAAAGGAAUAUAGCAGUUGAUGAUAAUGAUCCUAAACAAUACAAUCCAGAUCCUCUGCUGGGGUGGACGGGUAUGCAUCCACUGAAAUGCAGGAUCAAGCGUGGGUCCUGUUUUUAAGGCAAUACUCUGCUCAAGCCAUCUGUGGACCUGGGGAAGCUCAUCUGGAAUUCCCUGGUGACCAGAGGCUGGCUUACAGACUGGAGAAACCGAGGCUACAAAUGGACAUCGUAUCUGUCCUGGGCCAAAAUGUAGUCAUUCAGGCAUCUGCGUCCACUGUCCCAGGACAAGAAAUAAAACAGUUCACAGGGUGAAGGAUAUAAGGUGGAAAGAAAGAAAGAGAGAGAGAAAAAAAAAGAAGGAAGAAGCCAACUCCUAAACCCCUGGAAAUCUGUGUUAAUUGCUUAUGAAUGUCUCUGUCUAAAAAAAAUUAUCGAAUUGAUGUCGUCGUGGGUUUUUUGACAGCCUGUCUGUUACAUUUUUUUAAAUAUUCAUGCACCAAAAUCUAAUUACUAGGCAAAUUUAAUGAUAAUGAAAUGAAGGCACUUUAGCGGAAAGCACAGGGCCCCCGUUAAUGUUUUCUCAGCCUCUGUCUUGUUCGUAAUUUUUUUUUUUUAUGACUGCCUUUCUUGCAUUUAAAAAAAAAAAAGGAUUGCCGAAAAUAAAAC
rnacentral:lncRNA from 1 species